CCACGUCCCGACGCACAACCCCCCCGGCGCCGGGACGUCCCAAGGCCGGGUUCGGCGCCCCUCCCCCCGGGCGCCGGGCCCGGCUUUUCU
rnacentral:ncRNA from 1 species